rnacentral:tRNA from 1 species
UAUUUAAAGCCUUAAGAGGCGUUUCACUGUUAAUGAAAAGAUGGGGUUUCCCUAAAUAUU